CAAAGGAAUUGACGGGGUCCGCACAAGCGGUGAGUAUGUGGUUUAAUCGAUGCAACGCGAAGAACCUUACCUGGUCUUGACAUCCCGGAGACCCUUAGGAAACUAGGGGGUGCUUCCAUCUGGAAGAAUUUGGAGACAGGUGCUGCAUGGCUGUCGUCAGCUCGUGUCGUGAGAUGUUGGGUUAAGUCCCGCAACGAGCGCAACCCUUGCCUUUAGUUGCCAGCAGUUCGGCUGGGCACUCUAAAGGGACUGCCGGUGUUAAACCGGAGGAAGGUGGGGAUGACGUCAAGUCCUCAUGGCCUUUAUGACCAGGGCUACACACGUACUACAAUGGCCGAUACAAAGGGCAGCGACACUGCGAGGUGAAGCCAAUCCCGUAAAAUCGGUCUCAGUCCGGAUUGGAGUCUGCAACUCGACUCCAUGAAGUUGGAAUCGCUAGUAAUCGUGGAUCACGCAUGCCACGGUGAAUACGUUCCCGGGCCUU
rnacentral:rRNA from 1 species